GGAGGGAUGGGAGAGUGGUUAAAUCCAUCAGACUGUAAAUCUGACGCCUCAGGCUACACUGGUUCGAAUCCAGUUCCCUCCACCA
rnacentral:tRNA from 3 species